GCGCUUGUAGCUCAGUUGGAUUAGAGCGCAGCCCUGCGAAGCUGAGGUCGUGGGUUCGAGUCCCACCAAGCGCG
rnacentral:tRNA from 1 species